AUACGUUGUUUCACUAUUCCAAGUUCCAAGUAACCAUGGUGAAUAUGGUUUCCCCAUUCCAAGUAACCAUUGUGAAUGUGGUUAUACACCUCCACCUGGGUGACAGAGCAAGACUCUGUCUCUAAAUAAAUAAGUAAAUUCAGUUUGGACCAAUGAAGAAGGUAAUAUGUAAAUAUGGAAUAUUGGGAAAAAUUGACCACGUUAUUUGGAGUUAAUGUUAAGGAAUCAAAGGAAACAUUGAACUAAUUGGACUUAGACUCAUCUCUGCUAUGACUAUCAUUCUACUUUAGAUCCCUAAUGCCAGGCAAAUAGUCCCUCCUUAUUAAGAAUAAAUGUACUGGCUGGGCAUGGUGGUUCAUACUUAUAAUCCCAGCACUUUGGGAGGCUGAACUGGGAGGAUCACCUGAGGCCAGGAGUUUGAGACUAGCCCUGGCAACAUAGCAAGACCCUGUCUCUACAAAAAAAUUUUUAAAAAAUUAGCUGGGUAUGGGGUAUGCACCUAUAGUCCCAGCUACUCAAAGACUGAAGCGAGAGGAUCACUUGAGCCCAGGAGUUCAAGGCUGCAGUGAGCUAUGAUUGCACUACCGCACACCAGCCUGGGUGAGGGGGUGAGACCUGGACUCAAGGG